rnacentral:rRNA from 1 species
CAGCCGCCGCGGUAAUACGUAGGUGGCAAGCGUUGUCCGGAUUUAUUGGGCGUAAAGCGAGCGCAGGCGGUUUCUUAAGUCUGAUGUGAAAGCCCCCGGCUCAACCGGGGAGGGUCAUUGGAAACUGGGAGACUUGAGUGCAGAAGAGGAGAGUGGAAUUCCAUGUGUGGCGGUGAAAUGCGUAGAUAUAUGGAGGAACACCAGUGGCGAAGGCGGCUCUCUGGUCUGUAACUGACGCUGAGGCUCGAAAGCGUGGGGAGCGAACAGGAUUAGAUACCCGUGUAGUCCCUGUCUCUUAUAC